rnacentral:misc_RNA from 1 species
AACUAACGCAUUUUUUGUGACAGUUUCUGUACUUUAUUGGUAUGAGAAACUUCCAGAACAUUCAUUGUUCUAGGUAAAUUUUGAAACAAAAGCCUUCGGGC